UGCAAUACAUGGCGGACGGGUGAGUAACGCGUGAGCAAUCUGCCCAUAUCUGGGGGAUAACAGUUGGAAACGACUGAUAUUACCGCAUAACAUGGUUUGAAGGCAUCUUCUUUCCAUCAAAGAUUUAUCGGAUAUGGAUGAGCUCGCGUCUGAUUAGCUUGUUGGUGAGGUAACGGCUCACCAAGGCGACGAUCAGUAGCCGACCUGAGAGGGUGAUCGGCCACAUUGGAACUGAGACACGGUCCAAACUCCUACGGGAGGCAGCAGUGGGGAAUAUUGGGCAAUGGAGGCAACUCUGACCCAGCAACGCCGCGUGAAUGAUGAAGGUCUUCGGAUUGAAAAGUUCUUUUCUAAGGGAAGAAGAAAGUGACGGUACCUUAGGAAUAAGCCUCGGCUAACUACGUGCCAGCAGCCGCGGUAAUACGUAGGAGGCAAGCGUUAUCCGGAAUGACUGGGCGUAAAGGGUGCGUAGGUGUUUUGACAAGUUGGUAGCGCAACUCCGGGGCUCAACCUCGGCACUACUACCAAAACUGUUGAACUUGAGUGCAGGAGGGGCAAAUGGAAUUCCUAGUGUAGCGGUGGAAUGCGUAGAUAUUAGGAGGAACACCAGUGGCGAAGGCGAUUUGCUGGACUGUAACUGACACUGAGGCACGAAAGCGUGGGGAGCAAACAGAUUAGAUACCCUGGGAGUCCACGCUGUAAACGAUGAAUACAAGGUGUAGGGGGUAUCGACUCCCUCUUUGCCGCCGCUAACGCAUUAAGUAUUCCGCCUGGGGACUACGGCCGCAAGGUUGAAACUCAAAAAAAUUGACGGGGACCCGCACAAGCAGCGGAGCAUGUGGUUUAAUUCGAAGCAACGCGAAAAACCUUACCAGGCCUUGACAUCGAGUGAAAGUCUUAGAGAUAAGACCCUCCUUCGGGACACGAAGACAGGUGCUGCAUGGUUGUCGUCAGCUCGUGUCGUGAGAUGUUAGGUUAAGUCCUGCAACGAGCGCAACCCUCAUAUGUAGUUGCCAUCAUUAAGUUGGGCACUCUGCAUAGACUGCCGUGGUUAACACGGAGGAAGGUGGGGAUGACGUCAAAUCAUCACGGCCCUUACGGCCUGGGCUACACACGUGCUACAAUGGCUAUUACAAAGAGUUGCAAUACAGUAAUGUGGAGCGAAUCUCAAAAAGAUAGUCUCAGUUCGGACUGUGGGCUGCAACCCGCCCACACGAAGUCGGAGUUGCUAGUAAUCCCGAAUCAGCAUGUCGGGGUGAAUGCGUUCCCGGGUCUUGUACACACCGCCCGUCACGCCAUGGGAGUCGGAAGUGCCCAAAGUC
rnacentral:rRNA from 1 species